rnacentral:rRNA from 1 species
UACGGGGGGAGCAAGCGUUGUUCGGAUUUACUGGGCGUAAAGGGCGCGUAGGCGGCGUAACAAGUCACUUGUGAAAUCUCCGGGCUUAACUCGGAGCGGUCAAGUGAUACUGUUGUGCUAGAGUGCGGAAGGGGCUACUGGAAUUCUCGGUGUAGCGGUGAAAUGCGUAGAUAUCUGGAGGAACACCGGUGGCGAAGGCGGCGUUUUGGACUGCAACUGACACUGAAGAACGAAAGCCAGGGGAGCAAACGGG